rnacentral:rRNA from 1 species
GACGAACGCUGGCGGCGUGCUUAACACAUGCAAGUCGAACGGAAAGGCCCUGCUGUUUUGGGGUGCUCGAGUGGCGAACGGGUGAGUAACACGUGAGUAACCUGCCCUUGACUUUGGGAUAACUUCAGGAAACUGGGGCUAAUACCGGAUAGGAGCUCCUGCUGCAUGGUGGGGGUUGGAAAGUUUCGGCGGUUGGGGAUGGACUCGCGGCUUAUCAGCUUGUUGGUGGGGUAGUGGCAUACCAAGGCUUUGACGGGGAGCCGGCCUGAGAAGGUGACCGGCCACAUUGGUACUGCGGUACGGCCCAGACUGCUAUGGGAGGCAGCGGUGGGGAACAUUGCACAAUGGGCGGAAGCCUGAUGCAGCAACGCCGCGUGCGGGAUGACGGCCUUCGGGUUGUAAACCGCUUUCGCCUGUGACGAAGCGUGCGUGACGGUAAUGGAUAAAGAAGCACCGGCUAACUACGUG